CAAAAACCUUUUCCGGCUAAGCUUUUGAGGAAAUUAAACUGCAUGUGGCUGUUUUAAAAGGCGGGUUUUCAUGCGGUCACCUGAAGCUGUUUUUCUCUUUGUGCCUCAGAGUGAGAGGAUCUGGAGGAAGGCGAGACUCCUCUGUAUCUGUGCCCUCUCCUCCUUGUCAAACGUGGAGAGUAUGGGGGACCAGAUGGCCGGCAAAAUAAAAUAACUCGGGUAGGGUUGUAAGAGAUUAUUUAAUUGAAGAAAAGGUGGCAUGUGACACCAUUUUUAAGUAUGCAAAGAUACAGAGAGUGGCCAGCUGUUUUCCAUCUCGUAGGGGCGAUGCAGUCAGUCCUCCUCAAACUUGCUGAAACUCAGAUGCUUGGACCCCACCCUCGGAGUUUCCAGUCGAGUGGGUCUGGGCUGGGGCCCAUGAAUUUGCAUUUCUAACAAGCUGCCGGGUGAUGCUGGCCCUGCAGAUCAGCAGACCAGGCCUACAGUAUGCGGUUCUGGUCGGAAGCAGGCACAGGGGGUUUCAGCCCAACUUAGGGAACGCUUCAUCAGACAGCAGAGCAAGAGGAUUCUCUCCCCAAUCCUCCAAUUUUUAAUGUUUUUUUCUGGAGGCGUUAGAUUCUCACUUGGUUGGAAUAGAAUGAGUGGGGUUUUUCUUCCUUAAAAAGCAGAUGCUUCUAACUGUAGGAGCAAUUCAAAGGUGAAACGGCCCCAUUUUGAGGCACAGCACCCCAGCAGUCAGUGUUCACAGAGGAGGACAUGUUCGAGGAAAUGUGUUUCAGGACAUGCUGAACUGGUUCAUUCCAUCUCUAUGAUUCUAUGGGGAGCUGCCCACUGUGGACAGGACCAUGUGGUAAGAAUGAAUUCAGCUGGAGGAAACCUUGUAACAGUGGUUCACACAGCAGCAGCUCCAGCUCCAGGAACCACAACAGGGAGCAAAAGUGACAUCUACACAUUCUAAUCGCUCCAUGGUCUAGGGACCAGGGCAAAAGAGAGGAAUCAGGAAAAACCCAAGCUGUAUAAAUAUAGGUGGGGGAAUGACGGGUUAUGCCUAAGAAUAGAAAAAGAAAAACCCUCAGGGUCAGAGGAGGUGCUGAGCUGAGGGUAGCUUCAACGAAACUGUCUGGGGCAGAGUGCCAUGCUGGUUUCCACUUGCUGGCUUAGAAGAAGAGAGCUUUGACAGAAUUUACUGUGCCAUGUCCUUCCUCCAUUCGCAGCUUCUAAAUGAUUAAUGGAAGGCCAUAAGGAUGAGGGGAGACUCCAGAGGGAAGUGUUCAAAACGAUUACCUGCUUGGAAGAAAAGAAGCAGCCGGGAGGGGCUUUAAGAGAAUCAUUUAGCUUCUUCACCUGAGGGUAGGAGAGCCAAAUAGUCACCUAGAGGAAGAUGAGUUAGGAACCCUGUGAAACUGUGCCCUGAAGGGUCACUGGGAGAGGUGCUUCAAAACAACCGAUGAGACUCGCGGAAGGAUGGCUGCGCCCUCUGCCCGGGGCGGGAGUCACUGGAGCUGGGCUUGUGGGCAGCCGUCCUGCCUGCCUGCUGUUUGAUUUUAAUUCUCAUGCAUCCUGUACUUAAGCAGUACCUGGACUUCUCUGCUGUUCAAUUCCUCUGCAUGUUUGACAAUUUCUCUGACACCUCCUUGAUGGGGGACUCCAUGCUAAGUGUUGAGGUGGCUGGAAAGAAAGGCUGUAAACCAGGCGCCGUGCCCUACAGCAGCUUGCAGUUCCAUUCUGCUCUUGCCCUAUUAUUAUUACAUUUUUUUGCAAAACUGUUAUUCCAAAAGGCCAGCUGGGUCUAAAUAACCCAGGCAAAGUAGUCAGAGUGGGAUGGGGAAAGCUGUUCUGUUCACCUGGAUGAUCUUGUGAUAUUCAUAAAAACAUUGUUUACAUGGUUAGUUUCACAAGAGUGUUUCAAAACUAACUAACCGAAUGAAGAAGGCAAUAGACGGGAAUUUUAGGGGGGGAAAAAGGCUCAUUUUUAUCAUCUAAAUAUGUUAUCUUUAUUAACUAAAAUCCAUGUCCUUUUUAACGCUGAGCUCUUGGAUAGCUAUAAUUGUCCAGUUAAGGUAGCAAGGUGGUAUUCAGAACAGAGAAAUAUGUCUCUCAAAAGUCGUCUCCAAAGGCCUCAAAGUCGUCUGUCCGGUCUUGCUGCUUUUAAAAGUUGCAGAGACUCACACUCUGUGAGUGAGUUCAAAUACUUCCUUUUAUGCUGAAUAAAUAAACUUGCUUCCAAGUCAGGACGAGCAGAUAGUUCCAAACACUAGACACAUAAUGGCAUUUGGCAUGGGAGUCCUGGAUGUGGUCUCUAAAAUCAGCUAUGAGGACAUUCUGAACCUUUUUUAAAAAGCACAAAUUCAUCUUGUCAUUUUUGGUACAAGUGAUAUUCAUAUGUACAUAAUAUUCUCUCUCUUUAUAUGUAUGUAUACAUAUACCUUGCUGUAUCACUUGGUAUAAUAACCAGGCUUUUUACUCAGUCAAGUGUCUGGCAGUGGGGGGGUGGGAGGCGCUCAGAGUUCAGCAGGAGGGCAUCAGGCAAGUGUGGUGGGAUGGAGCUCACAGAAUUCAAACGUCAACUAUUUCACACUUUUGCCAGAGGGCAUUCCUGAGCUCCACGAGGAGAGUGCUCUGAGUAGAAGGCUAUUAGAGACCCUUGGCCCCCAAGGGCCUCAGGCCUGUUCCACUAAUUUUUUAGAGGAGGAAACUGAGGCACAACGUGGCUGGAAGAUGAAUGAUCAGAUAUCCUUGGUUUUGUGCUUUUUUCCCACUACAAAAGUUUUUCUUAGUGAGCAAAAGAAGGAAAUCAGAUAGGCUAAGUGCCUGGCCCAAGGUCAUUCAGGGAUUUUGUCCAAGGUCAAAGUGUUGCUGGCUUGGGGAUCCACCUGGAACAUUCUUGACUAGUGACCAGGAGGCAAAGGUCUCAUCUAGAGUUAACUGGGGCCUCUCCAGAGAAACGUUCCUGGGGAGGCUUUGCAUCUUAGUUCUUUGGAGCUGGAAGGAGAGGAAAAAGAGAAAAGAAUGGAUUGAACCGUUUUCAGGGUCAAGGUAUGGAUCUGAGGUGUAAGGAAGCUGACAAUGUUGCACUUGGCUCUUGGCUUGAAUGGGUUUGAUUGCUAAGAAGGGCCUCCUGCGGGUUAGAUAAUUUUACAUUAUGCAUUCGAGCUGGAAAGAGCUGUCCCUGGAAGCAGACAUGGCCCUGGGCAGACUCCUCCUUUACCAUUUCCUGGUAGCCUUACGGGGCCCACAGAUAUGUCAUUUAGCUUGUACUGUGCAGGCCCACGCAGUGUUUAAAAAUAAUCAAACUAGUUGCCAACACGUAAAAGAGCUGGUUGUUUUCUCCCUUCUCCUAAAAAAAAAUCCAAAGACCAGAAAACAGAAACCUGGCCAGUGGGGCCCACAUUCCCAGGCAGCAACAAUGGUCUAGGACCUUCGGUGCUGCCUUUUUACACGGGACCCAAUCCCCAGGUCAGACAGAGCCCGCAGGCCCUGCCGCCACCGCCCGGGGCUCCCUGCCUGCCCGUGCCUGCCUCACAGCCUCCUCCUCCCCUGCUCUACCUGCCACCCCAGCAUCUAUGAGCAACUGGGGCUGCAGACUUUUCUAACCCAGCUGUGCGCUCAGACUUCCCCCGCGGAGCCCUGCUCUGCCUCUCAAAGCCCUGCUGUCUUCCAGGCGGCAUCCACAAACUGGACAGUUUCACACGCUUAAAUCUUACACUCUCGAAUGACACCAUCCUCACAGGAGUUUUCUGGACCUGCUGGAAAGAGUAUGUAUGGUGGUGCGAAUUUUAUAUCAGGCAAUAGGCCGGGUGGAAAGAGAUUUUGGUACAGGUGAUCUGCCUGUUGUGCCAGCCUAGGGGGUUUCUGUCCCUUCUUGAGAGGGGACCCACCCGAGAUUUGAGAUCUCUAACUAGGUGGUAGGGCGGUGGAGCAGUUACAGCCCUCCCCAGAGCUGUCCCAGGAAAGGAGAGGAGGCCUCCCCACCCCCACAGCCACCUCCAGAUGUCCCAGCAAGGAACUUCUCUCAGGGCCUCCUUCCGGGCCAGGCCAGCCUUGACUGGGAAUCAAGCGCAUGACGAACCCAUCAGAGCCACCUGUGAUGCCAAUGGGGCGCCAGGCCUCCUGGCAAAGGGUCAGCCACUGCUUAGGGAAAUACGUUGCUCCUCCCUUGCCCUGCAGGUACAGCUCCAAGGUCAAACCAGGCUGAAGGGCGGCCAAGGCAGGACGGCACCAGCCUGGCAGCCCAGGGCACAGGGAGCUCAUUUACCUAUAAUUUCGCUCCUGCCUUUUCCCCUCCCCCGUGGCUGGCCCCAUAUGGUUCUGUUCUACGGUCACCAGACUGGCAGCUGGUUUAGUUCCUACAGCUUUUCCUUCCCCUUCUCCAAACUUCUAGCUUUAGGAAGUACUUAACAAGUCUUAUGUUUAAACGAGAACAUGGCAGGGGCCUGGGAACCCUCAGGAACAACAGGCAAUGACUUCCCUCAUAUCCCCGAGCUUUUGUUCCUAGCCCAGAAGUUACCGGAUGAGUGUGGAAAAAUCAUGUGAUCUGAGAGACAGCAAGGGAAGGAGGCGAGAGAGGGAGAGUGAAUGAGAGAAAGAGAACAGAGAUUGGGAAGCAAGUUCUUAAAGUUCCAGGGUCCCUGGCAAACAUGGCUAAUUUGCCUAGGUUUGCGAGAACAGGAGAUUUAAUGAGCUUAAUUUCAAGUUAUAUAAUCUAUUAUCAGUCUACACACGGAUUCACAGCCCAGAUUUAGAUCUAGGAGGAAAAAAAGUGAUGGAAAAACUGAGGGCCUGCAAAUUCACUGCUUAAAAAUAAAAUGGCCAGUUUGCUUCAUUGUGAGCAUCUUGAUUCUGUAGGGAGAUUAUCAGGUAUCAGGAAUGACUUGUAUGAAGUCAGAGCACAUUUGUUGAGUGGCUGGUGAGUGCCUAACCUCCGCUCUCAAGGAAUCCAUAGUCUAGCUGGGUUAAGAAGGCAUGGAGUUUGGAAAGGAUUAAUAACAGCCGAUGUUAGCCAAACAAGGUCAGAAGCUGUAGGAAUAAGAACAUUUCUUAGCCAAAACCAGUGCUGUGAGUUUUUAGAUGAAGAGAAAAAUAGACCCUUUGCAGAAGGUUUUGCUGAAUUUGGCAUUUGGUUUCUACACAAUAUCAACCCAGUGUUUGCCCAGACAAGAACUAUGUCCUAUUUCUAGCAUCUAGAACAUGUUGACACACAGUGUAAGGGCUCAAUUCAUGCUUGUUGAAUGAAUGAGUGAAUGAAUGAAUUCAGGUAAAGAAGGCAGACAUCUUCCUCGGUUCUUCGGCAUCCCUUUCAGGCACACUUCCCAGCAGAAGCAGAUUAUCAGGGUCAUAAGCCCUCCCCAAAUGGGCCAAGACAGCACUCUUGGCCAGACUCCUUUGCCAGCACAGUAGCAAUUAUGUUACUUAUAGCCAAGUGACCCUGGGCAGGUGCCUGUGUCCCUCCAGCCACUGUGCCAUCUGUCAAGCAAUACCCACUUCAUGGGGUUGGGGAAUGUCAAGAGAGAGUGCAGCAAAGCUCUUAACAAAAUGCUACGGGGAGAUCAGAAAAGGAACCUGCUUUUGUACAACCCGUCCUAAAUCGCAUGUGAGAAAAUUGCACAUUACCUGCCCUAAGAGACCUGUUUAAUUAUUUUUAAGAAAAACUUUCUUUGGUCCUUCUCUUUCCAACUUAAAAAGAAGACUUUGUUCAUGGAUAAAUGUAAUUUUUGGGGAAAACAUGCACUAGCAUGGCAAGCCAGGAGAACCAACCUUUAGGGAAGGACUCACGGCCUCCCCCAGAGCAGACCAGGGCCCCCGCCUCCCGCAACGUCGGCGGACAGGAUUAAACCUAGCGGCGACGGCUGGGCGGCAUUUCUGUGGCAGCCGCCCCGCACCCACGGCACCCUGCAAGCCGCAGCUCCCACCUUCUGCCACGCUGGAAGCAGGCCAUCCGGGCGGCUUGUUCAGUGCUCAAGCUUAUCAGUAAAACGAGCCUUCAGAGGACAGGUUUGCCACGGGACAAAGGGACAAAGUCCAGGUAACCGGUCACGCACACGUCUUUCUCUGCCACAAACUCCACCCUCAAGCCAGUUUGCUCCCCCAUGAAACGGGGGGACUUAGAAAUUCUGCAGGGAUGAACGAUGACAUUGCUCACUGGAGGGGACCAAGAGGGUCUGAUUUCCAGGAAGCAAUCCCAGCCUGAGAGACAGGGCUGCCUCCGGCGUGUAGAUGGAGGCAGGGAACCAACGGG
rnacentral:lncRNA from 1 species